rnacentral:lncRNA from 1 species
UUACACUCUGGAAAAGCUUCUCAGAGGAAGUGUUAUUGAGCUGGUUUUUUAAGGAUCAGUAAGGGAGUAGAAAAGAAUUCCAGCCAUAAUGGAUGGGUAUAUAAAGGAAAGGAAGCAUUCAAGAGUUGGAUAAGAUUAUACUCACCCAUAUGAGAUAGUAUAUGUAUUUUUUAGCUUCAAGUCUGGGCAAUGAGGUAAAAAGGUUCCUCAAGGUUCUUUAUUCUAGAAUUCUAUGACAAUGUGUUGAGAAUCUUGUCAUGCAAUAAGGUGUUUGCCACGUAUUAUUCCAAAUGCAAAUAGCUAAACAAGAUCAGAAGAAUUUGAAAAAUUUGCCAAAACCCCAGUCUCAUACCAGAUUCGCUACAUGGGCAAGAAGAUAUGUGAUACUUACAUUAAUUCCUACAAGAAUCUGAAAGUGAAGGUGAUACAAACAGGAAGCAGGGAAAUACUAGCUCCACUGGCAGGAGAGCAGAGCGGAGCGGCAGAGGAGGAGAGAAGAGAAGCAGCUGGAGAAAAGCAGCUUGACUUCAGAGGGAUGGCUUGAUGGCAGGACUUCAGAGAAGAGUUUGGCCAGGCAUGGCCAAACUCCAGGGGAAGAUUAUCUGCUCACUCCAUCCCUCUCCAGCUCCCCUUCCCACUGAGAGCCACUUCCAUCUCUCAAUAAAAUUAUCCGCAUACACCACCCUUCAACUGGUUCUUGUGACCUGAUUCUUCCUGGAUGACAGACAAGAACUUGAGUACCAAGAGGGAAGAGUAUAAAAGGCUGUGACCCUCACCCUCCACUGAGGUGGUGAACACUUAGCCAUCUGCGAACAGCAAACGCUAAAAGAGCACUGAUUGUAACACA